CUUUUGACCUCGGAUCAGGUAGGGAUACCCGCUGAACUUAAGCAUAUCAAUAAGCGGAGGAAAAGAAACCAACAGGGAUUGCCCUAGUAACGGCGAGUGAAGCGGCAACAGCUCAAAUUUGAAAUCUGGCUCUUUCAGAGUCCGAGUUGUAAUUUGCAGAGGGCGCUUUGGCGUUGGCAGCGGUCCAAGUUCUUUGGAACAGGACGUCACAGAGGGUGAGAAUCCCGUACGUGGUCGCUAGCCUUCGCCGUGUAAAGCCCCUUCGACGAGUCGAGUUGUUUGGGAAUGCAGCUCUAAAUGGGAGGUAAAUUUCUUCUAAAGCUAAAUGCUGGCCAGAGACCGAUAGCGCACAAGUAGAGUGAUCGAAAGAUGAAAAGCACUUUGGAAAGAGAGUCAAAUAGCACGUGAAAUUGUUGAAAGGGAAGCGCUUGCAGCCAGACUUGCCUGUAGUUGCUUAUCCGGACUUUUGUCCGGUGCACUCUUCUGCGGGCAGGCCAGCAUCAGUUUGGGCGGUUGGAUAAAGGUCUCUGUCAUGUACCUCUCUUCGGGGAGGCCUUAUAGGGGAGACGACAUGCAACCAGCCUGGACUGAGGUCCGCGCAUCUGCUAGGAUGCUGGCGUAAUGGCUGUAAGCGGCCCGUCUUGAAACACGGACCAAGGAGUCUAGCAUCUAUGCGAGUGUUUGGGUGUCAAGCCCAGACGCGUAAUGAAAGUGAACGGAGGUGGGAACCCUUUGGGUGCACCAUCGACCGAUCCCGAUGUCUUCGGAUGGAUUUGAGUAAGAGCAUGGCUGUUGGGACCCGAAAGAUGGUGAACUAUGCUUGAAUAGGGUGAAGCCAGAGGAAACUCUGGUGGAGGCUCGCAGCGGUUCUGACGUGCAAAUCGAUCGUCAAAUUUGGGCAUAGGGGCGAAAGACUAAUCGAACUAUCUAGUAGCUG
rnacentral:rRNA from 1 species